rnacentral:rRNA from 1 species
UACGGAGGGGACUAGCGUUGUUCGGAAUUACUGGGCGUAAAGCGCACGUAGGCGGAUUUGUAAGUUAGGGGUGAAAUCCCGGGGCUCAACCUCGGAACUGCCUUUGAUACUGCAAAUCUCGAGUCCGGGAAGAGGUGAGUGGAAUCUCAGUGUAGAGGUGAAAUUCGUAGAUAUUAGGAAGAACACCAGUGGCGAAGGCGGCUCACUGGCCCGGUAUGACGCU